CCCUUAGAUGUUCUGGGCUGCACGCGCGCUACACUGAAGCGUUCAACGAGUAUUCACCUUGCCCGGGAGGGUUGGGUAAUCUUUGAACGCUGUUCGUGAUUGGGAUAGACCUUUGCAAUUAUGGGUCUUCAACGAGGAAUUCCUAGUAAACGCAAGUCAUCAGCUUGCAUUGAUUACGUCCCUGCCCUUUGUACACACCGCCCGUCGCACCUACCGAUUGAAUGGUCCGGUGAAAUCUCGGGACGGCGGCUUGGUCGCUUGCGUCCGACUGCUGAAACUUGAUUAAACCAUAUCAUUUAGAGGAAGGUGAAGUCGUANCA
rnacentral:rRNA from 1 species